rnacentral:misc_RNA from 1 species
AACGCAUAUUGCGCUCUUUGGUAUUCCGGAGAGCAUGCCUGUUUGAGUAUCUACUAAUUCUCAACCCCUUGUGGUGUUGGAAGUGAGUCGUGUCUGAUAGACUGGCUUGAAAAGUAGUGUUGAGAGGGGGAUUCUACUACCUCUGAAGGAAAAGUAAUUGAAUGAGUGAUACUCAGCCAUUUCCUAGUACUUGAGAGAUGGAUGCGUUACCAAGCCUUACGCAACUUUCAACAUAACACUAAGAGCAUUGCUCUGAACUUUGGUCUCAAAUCAGGUAGGGAGGCCCGCUGAACUUAA